rnacentral:tRNA from 2 species
GGGGCCAUAGCUCAGCUGGGAGAGCGCUUGAAUGGCAUUCAAGAGGUCGUCGGUUCGAUCCCGAUUGGCUCCACCA